rnacentral:rRNA from 1 species
GGGUGCGCUCAUACCAGUGUUAAUGCACCGGAUCCCAUCAGAACUCCGCAGUUAAGGGCGCUUGGGCUAGAGUAGUACUCGAAUGGAUGACCUCCCGGGAAGUCCUAGCGUUGCACCCU